rnacentral:ribozyme from 1 species
GAGAUCAGCACCUCCGCCGAAUAUGUUUCUACAUUUGAAAGGAAAGAUAUUUGUAGAUAAGAAUAGACAGAAUAUGCGUAAGGAUGAUGUUCAUCAUUUCGCUUUUUUUCAGUUUUUUUAUUUUUAUUAUCUUUGUUUUCAUUCUCUCUUUUGCUCUUUGUCGUC